GCCCAGCCGUAAAUUAACUUACACCCCAACCGCCAGAGAAUUACGAGCUUAGCUUAAAACUCAAAGGACUUGACGGUUCCCCACAUCCCCCUAGAGGAGCCUGUCCUGUUAUCGAUAAUCCCCGUUAAACCUCACCCCUUUUAGCCUUUCAGCCUGUAUACUUCCGUCGCAAGCCCACCACAUGAGUGAAACUCAGUCGGCCCAACUGCCCAUUUAGCACAAACGUCAGGUCAAGGUGCAGCACAUAUGGGGGGAAGAGAUGGGCUACAUUCUCUAAAUAUAGAGUACACGCAAAAUUAGUAUGAAACCCAAUUAUACAAGGCGGAUUUAGUAGUAAAGCGGGAAUAGAGCGCCCCCUUUAAUUCGGCACUGGGGUGCGUACACACCGCCCGUCAUCCUCCUCAAAGCCACUAACAAGUACCUAACACCCCAUAGCUGCAAGAAGAGGCAAGUCGUAACA
rnacentral:rRNA from 1 species